GCAUAUCAAUAAGCGGAGGAAAAAGAAACUAACAAGGAUUCCCCUAGUAACUGCGAGUGAAGCGGGAAAAGCUCAAAUUUAAAAUCUGGUGGUCUUUGGCCAUCCGAGUUGUAAUCUAGAGAAGUGUUACCCGCGUCGGACCGUGUACAAGUCUCCUGGAAUGGAGCGUCAUAGAGGGUGAGAAUCCCGUCUUUGACACGGACUACCGAGGCUUUGUGGUGCGCUCUCAACGAGUCGAGUUGUUUGGGAAUGCAGCUCAAAAUGGGUGGUAAAUUCCAUCUAAAGCUAAAUAUUGGCGAGAGACCGAUAGCGAACAAGUACCGUGAGGGAAAGAUGAAAAGAACUUUGGAAAGAGAGUUAAACAGUACGUGAAAUUGCUGAAAGGGAAACGCUUGAAGUCAGUCGCGUUGGCCGGAAAUCAGCCUUGCUUUUGCUGGGUGUACUUUCUGGUUGACGGGCCAGCAUCAGUUUUGACCGGUGGAAAAAGUUCAAGGGAAUGUGGCAUCUUCGGAUGUGUUAUAGCCCUUGUUCGUAUACAUCGGUUGGGACUGAGGAACUCAGCACGCCGAAAGGCCGGGUCUUUGACCACGUUCGUGCUUAGGAUGCUGGCAUAAUGGCUUUAAUCGACCCGUCUUGAAACACGGACCAAGGAGUCUAACAUGCCUGCGAGUGUUUGGGUGGAAAACCCGGACGCGUAAUGAAAGUGAAAGUCGAGAUCCCUGUCAUGGGGAGCAUCGACGCCCGGACCAGAAGUUUUCUGACGGCCCUGCGGUAGAGCAUGUAUGUUGGGACCCGAAAGAUGGUGAACUAUGCCUGAAUAGGGUGAAGCCAGAGGAAAACUCUGGUGGAGGCUCGUAGCGAUUCUGACGUGCAAAUCGAUCGUCAAAUUUGGGGUAUAGGGGGCGAAAGACUAAUCGAACCAUCUAGUAGCUGGGUUCCUGCCGAAG
rnacentral:rRNA from 1 species